CCCAGUGCCCACCCCUGUGUGCCCAGUGCCCAUCCCUGUGUGCCCAUGGCCCUGAUCCCCAUCCCUGUGUGCCCAUGGCCCCAGUGCCCAUCCCUGUAUCCCCAGUGCCCACCCCUGUGUGCCCACGUCCCUGUGUCCCCAUGUCCCCAAUCCCCAUCCCUGUGUCCCCACAUCCCUGUGUGCCCACGUCCCUGCGUCCCCGUGUCCCCAAUCCCCAUCCCUGUGUCCCCACAUCCCUGUAUCCUCCUGUCCCCACGUCCCACAUCCCACAUCCCCAUGUCCCCACAUCCCCAUGUCCCCACUCCCCAUCCCCCCAUCCCUAUGUCCCUGAGUCCUCAUGUCCCCACGUCCCACAUCCCCAUGUCCCGUGUCCCCAAUCCCCAUCCCCAUGUCCCCAUGUCCCUGUGUCCUCAUGUCCCCACGUCCCAUGUCCCCAUACCUCACAGCCCCAUGUCCCCAUGUCCCCAAUCCCCAUCCUCGUGUCCCCACAUCCCCACAUCCCACAUCCCCACGUUCCCACACCCCCGUGUCCCCAAUCCCCAUCCCUGUGUCCCCACGUCCCUGAGUCCUCCUGUCCCCACGUCCCACAUCCCCACAUCCCACAUCCCCACAUCCCUGUGUCCCCAUGUCCCCAAUCCCCAUCCCCAUGUCCCUAUGUCCCUGAGUCCUCCUGUCCCCACAUCCCACAGCCCCAUGUCCCCAUGUCCCCACAUCCCAGAGUCCCCACGUCUUCAUGCCCCCAUGCCUCACAUCCCCCUGUACCCACAUCCCUGUGUCCCCACAUCCCCAUGUCACUGUGUCCCACAUCCCACAUUCCAUGGCCCCACAUCCCAAUGUCCCCAGGUCCCUCGUCCCCCUGUCCCAUCUCACAUCCCCCUGUGUCCCCAAGUCCUACACCCACGUCACCACAUCCCAUGUCCCCACAUCCCACAUCCCCAUACCUCACAUCCAUGCGUCCCCAUGUCCCCACAUCCCACAUCUAACGCCCCACAUCCCUGUGUCCCCAUGCCCCCAUAUCCCAUGUCCCUGUGUCUCCACAUCCCCAUGUCCCCACACCCGUGUUCCUACAUCCCCAUGUCUCCAUGUCCCUGUGUCCCCACAUCUCACAUCCCAUGUCCCCAUGUCCCCAUGUCCCCACAUCCCAUGUCCCUGUGUCCCCAUGUCCCCACAUCCCACGUUCCUGUAUCCCUAUAUCCCUAUAUCCCCUCAUUCCAUGUCCCUGUGUCCCCAUAUCCCCUCAUCCCAUGUCUCUUGUACCCACACCCCAUAUCCCCACAUCCCCGUGUCCCCACCCCACCUUCAUCGAUGAGUGACUCCACGGACAGCGUGCGGUUCCGGACGUUCAGGGAGUCGGUGGACUGGGACAGAAUGCGGCGGAUCCCCAGCGCAGAUUCGUCUGUGAACGUCCUGGGGGGGGGNNNNNNNNNNNNNNNNNNNNNNNNNNNNN
rnacentral:lncRNA from 1 species